AAGGCUAGACAGCUGAUGGAUGCUGUUGAAGUAAAUAGGCCGUAGCUUAGGAAAAUCCGGGCUGCACAAGGCUAAAUAUACGGACGAAAGUACACUCCUUCGGGAGCGGAACAAGUUGCUGACCCCAGUUGCCAAGAAAAUUCCCGUUCAUCUAUACAAACUCCACUGGCAGUACCGCAAACCGACACAGGUAGGUGGGAUGAGAAUUCUAAGGUGCUUGUGAGAACCCUCGUUCAGGAACUCGGCAAAAUGUAACCGUAACUUCGGGAGAAGGUUAGCCGCGUUCACCAAGAACGCGGUCGCAGAGAAAUGUUUCAGGCGACUGUUUAACAAAAACACAGGUCUCCGCAAAGUUGUAAAGACAACGUAUGGGGGCUGACGCCUGCCCAAUGCUGGAAGGUUAAGAGGAGCGGUUAGUCGUAAGGCGAAGCUGCGAAUCGAAGCCCCAGUGAAUGGCGGCCGUAACAAUAACGGUCCUAAGGUAGCGAAAUUCCUUGUCGGGUAAGUUCCGACCUGCACGAAUGGCGUAACGAUCCGAAAGCUGUCUUAACGAGGGACACAGCGAACUUGUAGUACCGGUGAAGAUGCCGGUUUCCCGCAUCAAGACGGAAAGACCCCGUGCACCUUGACUACAACUUGAUAGUGAUUUCGGGUAAAUAAUGCGCAGUAUAGGUGGGAGGCUUUGAUAUCGGACUUUUGGGUUCGGUGGAGCCGCAAUGUGAGAUACCACCCUUUAUUUAUUUGGACUCUAACCUCGUUCCGUAAUCCGGAUCAGGGACAUUAUCAGGCGGGUAGUUUGACUGGGGCGGUCGCCUCCUAGAGAGUAACGGAGGCGCUCGAAGGUUGGCUCAGGCUGUUUGGAAAUCAGCCGCAGAGUGUAAACGCAUAAGCCAGCUUAACUGCGAGACAUACACGUCGAGCAGGUACGAAAGUAGGAGUUAGUGAUCCGGCGGUCGCUUAUGGAAGUGCCGUCGCUCAACGGAUAAAAGGUACGCCGGGGAUAACAGGCUGAUCCUGCCCAAGAGUUCACAUCGACGGCAGGGUUUGGCACCUCGAUGUCGGCUCAUCAUAUCCUGGGGCUGAAGAAGGUCCCAAGGGUUCGGCUGUUCGCCGGUUAAAAUGGUACGUGAGCUGGGUUCAGAACGUCGCGAGACAGUUCGGUCCCUAUCUGGUGUGGGCGCAGCAAAAUUGAAGGAAUCUGUCCUUAGUACGAGAGGACCGGGAUGGAUUGACCUCUAGUGUACGUGUUAUCACGCCUGUGGUAUCGCACGGCAGCUAUGUUGAGCAUGGAUAAACGCUGAAUGCAUCUAAGCGUGAAGCCAGACCUAAGAUUAAUUUUGCCAGUGA
rnacentral:rRNA from 1 species